AUCCAGCUGACGAAUCUCAACUAGGACGAAAAGCGCAUCCUGGAU
rnacentral:hammerhead_ribozyme from 1 species